AUAGACAAUAACAAAUAGUGCCUCCCUAUAAUUUCAUGUAAAAAACGAAAAAAGUUAGAAAAUUAUACUUUUGUGCAGUCGUCUCGUAUCUUUCAUCUGCAACACAUAAGUUUUAAAGACUCUGUACGUACAAAUAACUAGUACGCACUAAUCUUAUUACAUGAAAGAAUAAUAAAAUGCUUGCAGAAAUGAGCUAGAAGCUUUGGUAUAAGAAAAAAGCCUCAGAGAAAAUUUCGUAUAUAUGUGUGAGUGAAGAAUCGGUCCGAAGCGGUCCGAGGAUAGAAACAGAGCACUAGUUUAGUUGCAGAAUAUCAUGAUAGGUGGUGCUGUAAUCAAAUGUGCGGUGAAGUGCAUCAUUGGAUCAUAUGAUAAUCUAUCGACCUAAUUAGACUUGAGGUCGGUUUGUAUUUUUCAGUCGAUUUUCACGAUUAUCCCUAUUCCUCUCGUUUCGUAGCUUUCUGACUGCUUGUGAGAAUGUAAUGUGAAAAAGUAGCGAGUUCUUGCGAGUUGAACAGGCCUGAUAUAUACAUAUGCACGCACGUACACAUAUACGCGCACGCAUUACUUUGAAAACUACGACACGAUUGUAAAAGUCGAUAACAAAAGUAGAAUAUUGUAAUUUUUUUUCGUUUUUCGAAUGAAAUUGUGGUUAGCACUAAAUUUUAUUAUCUAUACUUUAAUUCUGGAGAAGGAUUUAGAAUUCUGUUUACUCAAUAAAAAGAUUUCCCUAAUUUAAAAUAACAAUAAUGUGAGAUCGUCUCUGCGAGUCCUAGAAGCAGGAUUGCCAUGCAGGACCGUCUAUGGGCGCUUCAGCGCCAUGGACACGGCACAUGUAUAAAUUUAGAUAGUGAAGCAAAAACUUGGCUCGCAUUUUUACUGUGUUUUCAGAACUUUAUGUUUAUUCACAAACGUAUAAAUAAAAAUGCAAUAAUAUGACUUGGGCAUACUAAAUUUUUGUACACCAAUUUUUUUUAUUAAUAAAUGUUGUUAUAUGGUAUCAGCAAUACAAUAUUAUUAUGGUAAGGAGCCAAAAUCUAUAAAAAGAGAGGAGAUAAUGUUGACAAUAAUGAAAAAUCUCUAGAAUUUAUAAAUUUAUUUCUGAAGUUGACAACACUGUGGUGCAUUCAGGAGUAGCACGGAGGUAUGUAGUGCAGAGCCGUGAUUGUGACAGAUGGUGCAUGGAAAAUCAGAAUAACCUCGCGGAGAUGACAGGUCAGCCAGACGCAGACAGAAUCUGCUGAACAAAAUCUGACAGCAUAUUGGCGGCAGAAAAGCAGCAGAUCUGUGCAUCGAAUGCGGUCUCUGUCUGCGGAACGCAAGCUUGGUGCGGACACAGUAGGCUGUGACUUUGCUGUGGGAUUCUACUUUUGCAG